AUUUCCGGUCUCGAUCAGUAACUUCACUGCUCUUGUGUACGGAAGUACUCGCUCUUUUUCCAUGAAAGUACUUGAAUUUUGGGGGUGUGUUGUCGACGUGCCAUGGAGGGGUCAGAUACAUACCUCAUACGACCCAACUACCAGCACAAAUUCAAGCCUGCUGUCGUGAAGGAAUGUAUACAUGAAAUACUGAAGAAGCGCCUCGCCGAGGAGGAGUACGACCCAGAAGAAGUAUCAGAGCUGACCAGCACAUUGGCAGACUGCAUUAAGGACAAAGUCAAGAGUUUGGGGUUUGACAGAUACAAGUUUGUUGUGCAGGUGACCAUUGGAGAGCAACGUGGGCAAGGAGUCAAGAUGUCUUCAAGGUGUUUAUGGGAUGCGGAUACCGACAAUUAUGCAGAAGACGUUUUCAUGAAUGACUCCUUGUUCUGUGCUGUGGCAGUCUUUGGAAGCUAUUUCUACUAAGGAGCAUGGAGGCAGAGGCAGCUGCUGAGACUCACUUGUUGCAGGCGUUUUCUGUGUUGGAUCCAGCAGCCUCACUGCUGAGACACACGAGCAACAGCUUCUGAACACCUUCCAUGGAUGGUACUUACUGUUGAUGAGGGCUUACAGUACAUCCUGGCGAGAUCGUCGACAUGGACACCAUCAUGACCUCUUUCUUGAAUUCAGUAGUGGUCUUCACCCUCUUUGGAAUGUCACUGUCACUUGCAACCUUCUUUGGACUCAUAGCCGCUUAUUUAGAGUUCAUUGCACUCAGUGAAAAAAAUGCACGAACAGCAGUCAUGAACGCCGAGGGUCCAUGGUUUAGGCUACUUCAUAGCCUUAUACCGUAUGUAUUGGAUGUGCCUUCCAGGCUGCUGUAGUGAGAUUUCGUCUACUGGCGUGAUUCAAGAUGGCUAUGUAAACAAACCAAGCACUAAUACGACGUUUGUUACGCGUGCCAUAUUGCACGCUAACCAAGCGGGCAAACCCAAACCAAGGCAAAAAUUUGGGAUGUUAACCGAAAAACGCGUGAACCGGGGCGGAUGUUAACUGAGGUACCACUGUACGUGGAAUCUACAAUUUCAGCAUAAUUCACUGUGCUCUACGUUGACUCCUGAGUUUCAGUUACCGUUCGUGAGAGAUGCCCUGGUAAAAAUCACACGUGAACGUCGACACAAUCUCCAGAAAUAAACGCCCUGGCAAGUACAUUUCCUCAGAAGCCCCCAUCCAAGAAUUUUUACACGGCCCUCAGAAGUAAACUUCUUGGCAAGAACAAAUAUGCCGAAUGAAAGAACAAGCGCAUGCAUACUUCGAUUUUUUGCGAGUAGUCACCCCUACGUAGUCAGUAUUCCCAAGUCCAACACCCAGUAUCACCUUUCUUCCUACAUCCCAAGAACAGCCAGGUUGUGGAACUCCCUCCCGCCAACCAUGUUUCCAGAGACUCCUAACAUCAACUGUUUCAAGUCAGCAGUUAAUGCACAUUUUUUGAAUGAUAUUAUUAGUGAAUGAAAUACAAAUCGGCUUUUUGUGUUGUUGGUAUUUAUAUAUUAAAUUUAAGGGCCGCUUUUCAUCUUCUGUCAAAAAAAAAACAAAAAACGGCUGACGACCUUAAAUGUGUUACGUGGCAGAGGUAGGAUUUCUCCUUUUGAGAAGGGUUACUUUACCCUUUUUUGUCAUAGCUUGCUGUGCAGCUUACGCUUGUGACUGCCCAAAGUCUGUCUUUGUGAUUUUCAAUUCUCACCACCUGUUGUCCACCCGCUCUUCUAUUCUAAUUCCAUUAUCAUCCCUCCUCACUGUCGUUACCGCUAAGUAGUGUGUUUAUAUGCAUCAUUUAUGCCCCGUUACCAUUGUCCCGCCGCCAGAUUGGAUUUCAUUCACUUGUAUCGAAACCCGAAGCUGCAUUGAUGUUCUAUUUCAUACACCCACUGUGACACUGACUGGAAAGUAAAUAUCUAAUGUUAAAAUUCAGCCAAUGUCUUGUACUACUAAAGUUACUAUGCACAUUUGCAACGCUGGCGAAAUGUAAAUGGGAAGCCACAUCUGUCUGAGAUGGUGCACUUGAUUUAUCACACAAAAUGACCUCGCGCUCUGUGCUGUAUUGCGUUUAACUAUGUGUCGUGGCAGAAAUGAUGUCAGGGACAAGACUACGUUGAAAUUGUUUUUCGUGUUUUCACAUAAAACUUGCUUUGCAUAUAGAUAUGGCACUAUAAAUAAUCUUUACAUGUAAUACUGUAGGAAUUAAAUCAUUACAGGUACUUUUUGAAGGUAGUCGCCAGUAGUGGGACCCGAUUAUAUUUGCUCAUCCAAUUCAUUCACAUCACAUUUGAAUUGAAUAACAAUAUUUGACACAGUAAGCAAUGUUUUUCAAUACCGAUACAUUGUGGCCGACAGCUGAAUCAAUAAAUUGGCAUCUAUGUGCACGUAAACAAAAAUACCAUUUUCCAUCACACUACUACAGUGGUGUGAAAAAGUGUUUUCCCCCUCCCUGAUUUAUUUAUUUUUUUGCAUGUUUGUCACACGUAAAUGUUUCAGAUCAUCAAACAAAUGUAAAUAUUAGUUAAUGACAACACAACUGAACACAAAAUGCAGUUUUUAAAUGAAACUUUUUAUUAUUAAAGGCGGGGAAAAUAAGAAAUCAGGAUGGGGGCAAACACUAUUUCACUAUUUCACACCACUGUAUGAUAUGACUUUAUUUUGUCACAUAACUUUUUUCACAACUUAAUUUUCCAAAAAUGACAACUUUAUUUGUUGUUUUCUGUGAUUUUCAUAAUAAUUUGUCUUUAAAAAAAAAUAUUUUUUUCUUUAAUAUUUCAACUUUAUGCUACUGAAAACGUCAUCAUGAUAUCACGUUCUUGUAAGACUUUUUCUCGUUAAUUACAACUUUUUUCUCUUCAAAUUUUCACUUGAUGCUGUUUUUUUUUUUUUUUUAAGUUUUCUUGUUAAAUUAUACUUUUUGAAUGUGCAGCGAGCCAAUAACAAAACAGAUGCGGGCUGCAAAUGGCCCCCGGACCGCACUUUGGACACCCGGGGGCUAGUAUGUAUUUGCAUUGAGAAUAAGUUGAAUUAAAAGACACUCUUUUGUAAGUUUACCAAUGUAUUCGAACUGCGUAGUGUCGUCACGAGUGUCGAAAAUCACAUUUGUCAAACUGCUUGUGUUGGCUUCUACUAAAACAAAUUCAACUGCAUUUUAUAACUGUUCAUAAUCGAAAACUUUAUUACGCAAACAGUUGAGUCCACAACAUGAAGGCACACAGCAGUCAAGACAUUUCGCUACUGUACGUUUUCAUUCACUUUACAUUCAAGCCACUGGAAUCAGCACACUUACGUCAAUGGGAAGGUCUUACAAAAUACUCCAUAGAACAAGACGGUGUGUCACUUACAGCGCCAUCUACCAUUGAACAUGAUUUCACGUACCGUUUUCAAUGAAUUAGACAACCCGUAGAUUUUCCAUUGCACACACAUUUUUACACGCUUACUGCACCUGCAAAGAUGUGCGAAGCUCUUAGCCAGGGCCUGUUUACAGAUCAUUACGCCACUAAACAUCAAGAAGACCAAACAAGAGUGGACGUGCACAUAAAUACUAGCAAAGGCAUUAAGACUUUUUAAUGAUGCACUGUAAUUCUCAGCCGGAAUUGUUGUUUUUAGCAAAUCCUCCCCCCCUUUUUUUUUUUUAAGUCUGGGGUGAUGUAUGUUCAUUUGACUUUUGACCAAGGUGUACAUUUAUUCAUGACAAUAAUAAUAAUAAUACUUUGAAUUUGUAAGCAGCUUUCUCAAACACAAGGACUAGGGCUGUAACGAUUCAUUUUCAUAACGAUUCGAUUCGUAUCACGAUUCGUGGUUGCCAAUACGAUUCAAGGACGAAAUUGGUUUAUUUAGAAGGAUACGAUCCGAAACGAUUCAGUAACUUUAAAUCGAUUCAGUAAGUUUUUAGCCAAAAAUUCAACCAGUGUGAUUGUGAAAUAAAUACCUGGAUACUGGACCGUGCAGGUGACGGUCCAGGUGACUAGACUCCUCGUUGUUUUUGGUAAUAGAAUCAGGUAUGAAUUAAUUAUGGAUAUAAAACAAACAAGUAAACAACAAUUAAUGGCAAAUGCAUUCGCAUUUUAUUUGAAUCCAGCGCAACCAACACUUCAGGUUGAAUUAACGAUGAAUGAAUUCACAGGUUGAAUUAAAUCAAGUCUGUGAUUAAUUCUAUCUGAUAAAACAUGACUUGCACUAGAAUUUGAUACCUCAUUCACUUCUCUACCCCAAGUGUUAAAGACGUUGGAGCAGAUUUCAUAGCGGGAAGUAGUGCCUUUGGUUCCCAUUGCUUCCCAUUGAGUCAAGACAAAAGCUGUGAUCAACCCACGGACCUCGCUGUGGAACACACACGUAAACAAGAUGGCCGUGGCGCUCCGUCGCGGAAGAAGACGUGAGCGUCUUUGUCACAUACACAAGAAUGGACAGGCGACAGUGCACAAGGAUACGGGGGGAGACAAAUAUAACGCAGAGCGAUUUGUGAGGUCUGAUUAUUUUGAGUAGGCAUUUUUGUGAUGCAAAUAUACUACUCUUUUGAACGCAAAUUGUUUCGAGAAGCCAAACUCCUCACUUGUGUAACCCCAGCGAGUACCUGGAACUACAUUCCUCUGACCGAGCCUCUUUGUCCUGGCGCCGCUCCGCUCUAGUGUUUAUUGCAUCCUUGUUAAAACUCAUUGCUGCUGUCGUCCUUAUGCUACUUUCCUCAAACUUUAUGGAACAAACCGAAGAGUCAUUUAUUCCGUAAUGGCGCCCUCUAGCCGCGUAACUUCUGUCUUCCUUCGGCAUGUCCAGAAAUCCAACUUUUUGUGCAAUGUUUAGUUAGCAUCUACCUUUGCCUUUUGGGCGCAGAAGGUUUCAUCGACACUGUGAGAAAACUUGCAAACAUAGAAAGUUCAGAGUCACACCGCUAGCUGUUUGCUCGCGAUCGCAGACAACAGGGGACACGGCACGGAGGAGAUUGACUGACAAUGGUCUGCAGCCAAUCAGGACGCAGAACACAAUGCGUGGGUUUUUGCAAAAUUGCAAAAAAAUAUGUCUGAAACUGCAAGGCCGUGAAAGGUGAACUGCGAUGUAGUGAGGGACGACUGUAUCAAAGACGUUACUUUUUAAAAGUUGUAAUGUCAUGAAAAACAAAGAAAGUUGCAAUUUUGGGAAAAUUAGGUCGCAAAAAACUUAUGUUAUGAUAAUAAAAUCAAAAUAUGUAAAUAACGUCAUAAUUAUGAGGAAACAAAUGGCAGAGAUGGAAAAUAUAGCUGGAAUUGUACGCAAAUAAAGUCAAAGGAUUAAGAGAAAAAAGCGUCCGAAAAUGUCAAUUUUAGGAGAAUUAAAAAAAAAAAAUUGUUGGAAAAUUGGCUUGGUGAAAACGUCAAAAUAUCGGGGGAAUAAAGUCAAAAUACGAGAAGAAAAUUUACAAAACUUAUUUAAGAAGAAAGAUGAAAUACGCUGCUCGAAAAAAUGAAGGGAACACUAAAAUAACACAUCCUAGAUCUGAAUGAAUGAAAUAUUCUUAUUAAAUACUUUGUUCUUUACAUAUACUGUAUGUGCUGACAACUAAAUCACACAGAAAUUAUCAAUGGAAAUCAAAUGUAUUAUUAUUAUUAUUAUUAUUAUUAUUAUGCUGUGCUGUCCACGUGGUGUCUAUUUCCAUUUGCACAACAGCAUGUGAAAUUGAUUGUCAAUCUGUGUUGCUUCCAAAGUGGACAGUUUGAUUUCACACAAGUGUUCCCUUUAUUUUUGCGAGCAAGUCAUUUGUCGCCUACAUCACAAAGCUGAGAUGCAGGUUUUUCUUGACAUAUUCCUUCUUUCCAAUAUAUCAAAGUGGCCCUUGCAUCCCUUCAUUUUUCAGUAUGUUGUUCGCACACCCCUGACAUACGUUACAGUAAUUCGCCCUGUGCUUGUUCAUGCGGUAGUUGCCGUAUUUUCAGACAUGAAGCUGAAUCAGUCCAAUUGCGAAGGACAGGGAACGGAUGCGGUGGUUGAAAGUGAGACACUAUCUGAGCGUCAUGCAAUCCUUAACAUCAUAAGAAUGUGCUUAACAUGUGAUUGCCGUCUCUCUCACUGCCCGUUCUCCUUCUGCCUCCCCUUCCGCAACGUUUGGUCCAAUGUUUUGCGGGACAUCGUUGAUGGUACUGCGAAGCGUCACCCGAGUGACACUCAGCGAGUAUUUUCGAGGGACGAUGUGGUGCGGCCGAUGGCACAUGACCUCCUUGAACAUUUCUCGGAAGCGCGUGGACAUGAGGUUGUACAGGAUUGGGUUGACGGCGGAGCUGAGGUAGAAAAACACUCCAGAGAGGAUGUGCACAUACUGGAAGAUUUGCAGGCGGCUGUCGGUCCACUCGCUGAUGAAACUCCACACCAGGCGGUCGGUGUGAAACGGGGCCCAGCAGAUCCCAAAAACCACCACUAGAACAACUGCAAAAAAAAAAGGAAAAAUUAUUUUUGGGUGAUUAUUUUUUAUUUUAAUUACAUUUAAAAAAAUAUUUUGAAUCAUAGAUUUUUUCCCCACCAAGGUUCCAUUGUAUGGUACUGUACAUAUUCUUCUUCUAUUUUUGGUUUUAUACAUGUAUGCUUUUCAUUUCAAGCAUAACUUUCACUUUGACACAGUUCCUUUUUGCUUCUGUGACAGCUGAAAUAUCUAAACAACUAAAAUUUUCCCUACAAUGCGUAACCAUCUGCAUGCUACACCCCUCCAUGCUCUCGUACUUCCUCCUUGCUGUCGAGCUGUUAAAACAUGCAAAAGAUCCAUGCUGAGCUUUUAUCAAAUGCACUCAUGCCACCUUGUGGCCGUUUUUAUGGCGUAUAACCGCUGGAAUUGUGAUCUCUUUUGUUGUGCAAUUGCGUCAUCCCCUCUUUUUGCCUUUUUGUGCCACAAAAAACGUAAAACACUUAUAAAUAUGUCUUUGGGAGCGAGGCUUCAGGUUUUGAAAAAAAAUGUAUAAAUAUGUUGUUGGUAUUGAAUUAAUUAAUUAACAAAUGUUCACAGUUUCAUGGUUGAAUACGGCCUAUUAGUCAAGACUCAUGCAUAUGUACGCAAAUUGUACAUGUUAUUGGCCCAAUAUAAGCAUUUUCAGUCAUAAAAAUGGCCGAAUGAACACAAAUACAAAUAAAAGGCAUGGGAAGUAACUUGUGUGACGUCAGGUAGCUACUAUAGAGUUGCUGAGUGUUAGCACAGGUAGCAGUGUGGAGAGGGCCAGUGACUGGCGUGAGUUGUGGCUGACAGCAGCUCCUGUGUGAACAUUCACUGCACAUGUGUUCUUUGUGCCAUUGCAGUAUUAUUCUACUACGCUGGCCACUAGGUGUCAGGAACAUCACAUUGAUGAGACAAUAGCCACCAUGUAUCCUGUCAGUGCUAAUAUGUGAGUCUAUGUUAUGUCGAAGACGUCUUAUUUUCUUUGACUGUGUCAACUAUAUUGGGUAAUACAAGUUUAAAACUGACUAUGGGGGUGUUAUUUCACGUCUAGAGGGCUCUAAUAAUGCUCAAAACCAUAUUUAGCAGGUCGUAAAACAGGUUUUCUAAGCUGUAACUACAAAAAUAUUCUCUUUAUAGAUAAGGAAUUGUAUUUUGUGGAAAUGCACUUAUCGUGGUCGGGUCUGGAACCAAUUAACCGCAAUAAACAAGAGACAACUGUAUAAUUUUGUUAUAAUAAUCAUAUCUGUCAAUGUUUUGAAUAGCCGUCAAACAGUGCCUCUGUUGGUUGCAGCAAAGUUCUGCACUCUCUCUUCUACUUUUUCGAUGUGAUUAAUCAACAAUCAACUGCACACAACCGACUAAAUUCAAUAUUAAUGAUUAUUCCUAAUUUGUAAUCUACAUGAAUUUACCAUGAGCAACUAUAAAUAUAUAGAGUGAGGUGGUUUCACUCCAUAUCCAGCACAUCGAAAUUGGCAAAAGUUCCCACUUCUGUUGGGAUUUGUCCCUCCCUGCUCUCAUUUUCUGUUCUUCUCUAACCUUUAGCUGCAUUGAUGGAGUUUUUCUUAAUAAUCUUUCCAAAGGUCCAGUCUAUUCCGUUUCAUGCAAGCUUUUCAUGCAUGUUGAUAAAACAGAAGAUCAAUCAUUCACAUCCAUGGACCGCAAAUCUGAGAGACUGCAAAUCAAUAGAUGUCAGCCUCUGCAUCCAUGGAGAUAAUCACGUCUGUAUUUGCUUUCAUCUCUCACAUGCAAAGGCACAAUGCCGCAUUAAUGAUGAAUUGCUACGUAUGAUGUAAGGGACGUCAUAAGCUUUGCAUGAAAAUGCAGAGCGAGCUAGAACGGCAUUCAGAGUAACACAUUCCAGAAACCACAGUGUUAAAAAUAAUGUUCAAAAUAAAAAACAUUCUUAUGUAUUUUAAUUCAUCCGUCCAUCCAUACUGUAAUGCGGGUGGCCAGAGCCCAUGCCAGCUGUCCAGUAUUUUCUGGGUUAAACACCAAAACUCGAUUAUUAUUGGAUAAUGCGGUAGCCUACGCGGGUCAUUGGGAGGUCAAAAAGUAAAAUUCCCUGCUUUAAUCAAAUAGGCAGCUAACUAAUUUUGCAGAGCCAACCCUUUUGACGAAGAAGGUGGCGCAAAGAAAGAAAGACAAGGAGUACGGUGCAAAACCGUGCAGCACCAGAAGUCGCAUUAAUGGUGAGAAGUAUUUUAUUUAUUAUUGGACAGCUUCAGUAUAACAAUGUUAAUAAAAAGAACAUUGUUUGUCUUGCUUAAAAAUGCAUGCAUUUAGUUGUGUUCGGUGUUUAGUUGUGCUCUAAACUGUGCUGCUGAUGUUGACACUUGGGUUGUUUUCAGGACAUGUGCGCAUGUGUGUUGUUUCAUGUGUUGUUUGCUCACCUCCCCAGCUUUUGAGCUCUUUUUUCUAGCAGGUCGCCGGUAUGUGUGAGUCACGGGAAGAAAAGCACUGACGUAGGUAGAAGCAAAUAUGUAAGACAGCAUCUUUUUCAGACUUUUUUUUGUGGGGUACUCGAUUCACAAUUACAAUGCUUCUUCUGCCUUGUGUUUGUAUUUUAGUUCAUUUAGUUAGUUAAUUCAGCCAUUUUUAUGCUUGAAAAUGCUUAAUUUAGACCAAGAACAAGCGCAAUUUGCAUAAAUAUGCUUAUUUGUACUAAUAAUAGGCUGUAUUCAACCACAAAACAGUGAUCAUUUAAUCGAUUUUUGAAAACCAGCGAGGGAGCGAUAAUCAAACUGCAAUGUUGCGAGGCACGAUUGGAUGUCAACGUCUUUGAAUGCGUCGUUUCAAUGCCUUAUGUUUGUAAUUUAGUUCACUUAGACAUUUAUACGCUUGAAAAUGCUUAACUUAGGCCAAGAAUAAGUACAAUUUGCACAAGUAUGUUUUUUAAAAAUUAAUAAUAGGCCAUAUUCAACGACAAAACAAUGAUCAUUUAUUAAUUAAUUUUUGAAAGCCCGUGAGGGAGCGA